CCUACGGGAGGCAGCAGUGGGGGAUAUUGCACAAUGGGGGGAACCCUGAUGCAGCGACGCCGCGUGGGUGAAGAAGCGCCUCGGCGCGUAAAGCCCUGUCAGCAGGGAAGAAAAUGACGGUACCUGAAGAAGAAGCCCCGGCUAACUACGUGCCAGCAGCCGCGGGAAUACGUAGGGGGCAAGCGUUAUCCGGAGUUACUGGGUGUAAAGGGGGCGCAGACGGCGAUGCAAGCCAGGAGUGAAAGACCGGGGCCCAAACCCGGGACUGCUCUUGGAACUGCGUGGCUGGAGUGCAGGAGGGGCAGGCGGAAUUCCUGGUGUAGCGGUGAAAUGCGUAGAUAUCAGGAGGAACACCGGUGGCGAAGGCGGCCUGCUGGACUGCAACUGACGUUGAGGCCCGAAAGCGUGGGGAGCAAACAGGAUUAGAUACCCUUGUAGUC
rnacentral:rRNA from 1 species